CUCCUACUUCAGUGGCGUGCCUGUUGUGCGUUCGCCUGCAUAGGGUGAAGACGUCUGACCGGAGGCAGCUUGCAACGUUCUGCAGCCUAACUCGGACACCAUGGCGGACAACCGGGACCCAGCCAGCGACCAGAUGAAGCGCUGGCAGGAGGAGCGGUCCACGCAGAAACCUGAUGUCCUGACCACUGGAGCCGGUAACCCCAUAGGAGACAAACUUAACACUAUUACAGUGGGGCCCCGGGGACCCCUUCUGGUUCAGGAUGUGGUUUUCACUGAUGAAAUGGCCCACUUUGACCGGGAGAGAAUUCCUGAGAGAGUCGUGCAUGCUAAAGGAGCAGGGGCCUUUGGCUACUUUGAGGUCACACAUGACAUUACCAGAUACUCCAAGGCAAAGGUGUUUGAGCAUAUUGGAAAGAGGACUCCCAUUGCAGUUCGAUUCUCCACUGUUGCUGGAGAAUCGGGCUCAGCUGACACAGUUCGUGACCCUCGGGGGUUUGCAGUGAAAUUUUACACAGAAGAUGGUAACUGGGAUCUUGUUGGAAAUAACACCCCCAUUUUCUUCAUCAGAGAUGCCUUAUUGUUCCCCUCCUUUAUCCACAGCCAAAAGAGAAACCCUCAAACGCACCUGAAGGAUCCUGACAUGAUGUGGGACUUCUGGAGCCUGCGCCCUGAGUCUCUGCAUCAGGUUUCUUUCUUGUUCAGUGAUCGAGGGAUUCCAGACGGACAUCGGCACAUGAAUGGAUAUGGAUCACAUACUUUCAAACUGAUUAAUGCGAAUGACGAGGCAGUUUAUUGCAAAUUCCAUUAUAAGACUGACCAGGGCAUCAAGAACCUUUCUGUGGAAGAUGCAGCAAGACUUGCCCAAGAAGAUCCUGACUACGGCCUCCGUGAUCUUUAUAAUGCCAUUGCCACAGGCAACUACCCCUCCUGGACCUUUUACAUCCAGGUCAUGACAUUUAGUCAGGCAGAAACUUUUCCAUUUAAUCCAUUUGAUCUCACCAAGGUUUGGCCUCACAAGGACUUUCCUCUUAUUCCAGUUGGUAAACUGGUCUUAAACCGGAACGCUGUCAAUUACUUUGCUGAAGUUGAACAGAUAGCCUUUGACCCAAGCAACAUGCCACCCGGUAUUGAGCCCAGCCCUGACAAAAUGCUUCAGGGCCGUCUUUUUGCCUAUCCUGACACUCACCGCCACCGCCUGGGCCCCAACUACCUUCAGAUACCUGUGAACUGUCCCUAUCGUACUCGAGUGGCCAACUAUCAGCGUGAUGGUCCCAUGUGCAUGCUCGACAACCAAGGUGGUGCUCCGAAUUACUACCCCAACAGCUUCAGUGCUCCAGAACAACAGCGUUCAGCCCUGGAGCACAGCACCUCGUGUUCUGGGGAUGUGCAGCGCUUCAACAGUGCUGAUGAGGACAACGUCACUCAGGUGCGAGCAUUCUAUAAGAAUGUGCUGAAUGAAGAGGAGAGGAAGCGCCUGUGUGAGAACAUUGCAGGCCAUCUGAAAGACACCCAGCUUUUCAUCCAGAAGAAAGCGGUCAAGAACUUCCAUGAUGUCCACCCUGACUAUGGAGACAGCAUCCAGGCACUUUUGGACAAAUACAACGCUGAGAAACCUAAGGGCAUUUAUCUGCAGCUUCUAGAUUUCUUAAACAGCUGUUCAGAAACUCAUUUGAGAUAAAAAGAACUCACCUGCAAAACACAUACUCUUCGUUUAGCUCUGGACCAUAUGACACAGUUAAAGAACUCAAUCCACACCUUUGUGCAGCAUGAGUCUCACUUGGCUGCAAGGGAGAAGGCUAACCUGUGAGGGUCUGGGGGACGUGCCAAGAAGCUCGCCGUCCAUGAAGCAAAGCAUGGUGUUCACACAUGCAACAUUCUUAUCUGCAACAUUCUUAUCGCUGGAUAGAAGAUUCUCCUGUGCUAGAUAUGCAAAUGCAAGCUCAUGUCUUUAAAAUGGUAAUCUAGGUUUCUACAGCAAAUAACCUAAUGAUAACUUUUAAUACUUUUAAUAGUUUCCCCUAGGGUAAUUAGGGGAAAAUGGAAGUUAGGGCUUAACAAUCAUUUAAAAGAAAUACAUGUUUGCUUUUGAUAGUAAGUUGGAUUAUGCAUUUAAAAUGACUAGAAGGAAAGUUUCUAGCAGAAAUACGAUUUUAUUUGGUAAGAAAAAAAAUCUUGGUGAAAUUGGUGUGUUUACAUAUUACCUCAUGGCCUAUUAAAUAAAAUCAUGGCUGUAAUUAUACAAGAAGAAAAAAAAGGUGAUCCAUCAGACAUUUGUAUUUUUAUGAAUUCAUUGUAGGAAAAGCACAUUUAAUGCAUCAGUGGCCUUCCAAAAAUAACUUGAGCACCAUCAUGGCUUUAUAUGUAUUCCAGCUUGGAAUUGAUCAACUUUAUUUUUUUUUCUCUUGAAAUUAUAUCGAUUACAUACAGCACUGAUUUUACAACAGACUGCUGUGUAACUGCUUUAUAUUUUUACAAUAAAAUAAUCUUAAGAAUAGAA